UCUCACUGUCAUGGCCUCUCCCGUUGUGGAGCACAGGCUCUGGACGCGCAGGCUCAGCGGCCAUGGCUCACGGGCCCAGCCGCUCCGCGGCAUGUGGGAUCCUCCCGGACCGGGGCACGAACCUGUGUCCCCUGCAUUGGCAGGUGGACUCUCAACCACUGCGCCACCAGGGAAGCCCAACCAAUCAUGUCAUUUUAAUUCACACAACAAUCUAACAAGUUAGUUCUUCUUGUUAAUGCUUAUCCCCAUUUUAUAGAAGAAAGAGCUGAGGCUUGCGGUUGCUAAGUAAUUUGCCUAAGGUCCCAAAGCAAGAGAGAUGCAGGAUCAGGAUAUGAAACUAGUGAUUCACAGCCCGUGUUCAUGAGAAUUCUUUCCUAAACCUCAAUCCUGGAUGACACCAUCUCGAUUCUCUCCACUGAUGUUGAAGUUAAUAUUUAGGGGAAAGGAGAAAAUGUUUGCUACAAUCUGACCGCUGCUCACCUCUGAAAAAGAAGUGACAAAAGGCCAGAUGUUAGCUCCAGGCCUCAAUGUGUUAAAACGGUAAGAAAAUCGCCACGUGACUGGAUCACAAGAGCCCAUUCUAGAAAAUUCUGAGACCCGAGGUUCAAAAGCAAACUAUUUCUGCGUUUUUAAACAACAGCUCCAUUGGCCUGCUAGGUUCAAACCCUAGCGUCUAAUUCCCGAUCCUGCGAAAGCCUGUUAGGAGGAUUUCCAUAUAAAAGCAUCCAGCACAAUCAACUUCUGGCCUUUCCCACACACAGAUCCGCAGGACCAGGCUGCCUCUCCAGCACGCCAGGGGCACUAGGUGUUUAAUUUGGAAUCUGAUAGCUGCCUAAAUUUUGAGGUAUCCCGUAGGUGCCGCACACAAAGAAUCCUCAAUGGCCACCGGCAGAAAUUCUUAGAAAAACAAUCCUCCUGGUUGUCGGAAUCACAACUACCACUUUCACUCCCCGCCUCCCUGUCACGGAAGAGGCUGUUGUGACUUGAAUUACAGGGGCCCAUGUGGACUACCUGCCGUCCAGAUGCGCAUGUGACAAUGGACACUCCUUUGCUGGCCGGCGGUGUUAUUUCAGACACUGUUGCACAGAUGGGCUCCGUUCCGAGCGGGGAAGAGCCACACCUCGGAGACGACAUGUUUUAUAGGGCUGUCUCCUCGCCGCACACAAAGUACCCUCAUCGUUUUGCCAGGGUCGGGGCAGAUAGCCGAACGUCAGAAGGACGGUUUCUCCCCAGCAUCCUGUCUCCAGCCUCAGGGCCUGCAUGCAGUUUCGGGGAUCCCGGUUGUUGGCUGGCCCCCCGCCCGCUCCUGUGGCUGCCAUGUGUGGGGCACGUGCCUGGGCCUCGGCAGCUGUUGGAACACAGUAAAUCCCUUCAUACUGACAUAUCCCAACGACUAACACGGGCUUAGUGAGGAAACAGAAGCGUUUGACAAGCAGAAACAACUGACUUACUUUUAGAGGGGUGAGGAAAUGACACCCCCAAAGGGCUUGAUCUCGCCAUUUGGCUUGGAUGGGGGACUCACCAUGGGAGGCCACCCGGAUGUCACCCCAGCCACCUACCAUCAUUAAUUCUGAGCAGAAGAGGAGCCCGGCCGGUGUUUCGGCAACAGGAAUGAGAGGUCUGAAGAGAUGGUUAUUGGAGACCACGCUGGACAUGAAGAAAAUAAAUCACUCAAACCCGAAGACUUAAAGUGAGAGGCAGUCUCACUUUGUAGUUUGGAAUGUGAGCUUUGGAAUCAGACAGAAGUGGGGUGCAAACCCUGGUUCUGCCACUUAUCCCAUGAUGAGCCGUGAAACCCCUAAGCCUCUUUCCUCGCUUGUAAAAUGGGGAUAUGAUCAUGGCAUUCCUAGCUAAUGGAGCUCUUCCAGGAAUGAGUGAGACCAUCGGAUAAAGCACUCAGUACGACAGGUAACAGAAUUCACCGUGCUCUAACUGAUGUAGCUCCUGAAGCAGCGUGGAAUCAAAAGGAAGCUCGACCCUUACUGCUUCAAAACACACUCGCUCAUCAAGACCCCACCACCGCCACCUUCUUCAGAACCUGGAUCAUGAGCCACUAAUCAACGCCAACUGUUUGAAGAUGCGGGACAGAAGAAAUUGUGAAGGCUGCUGCUUCC